CAUAACCUUCUCUUAAGACUAGAUUGAGAAGCUUUGUUCUAAAUUUCUGGCUGUUGAAGAAGCCCGCGAAUUCUGCUUUUUAGAUCCUGACAACGAGCUUUAAUUCGAGGGAUUUGGUCAACCCAACUUUGUAGUUCGGAACUAGUGAUCUCCACUUCUGGAAACUUGCCCAACUAGGAGGAGUAAGUCUCAGUCAUGUGCACAUAUUUUCUGUAGUAGUGCUUCCGGACAUGCAUGUCCAUUCCUACUGCGGUCAAAGAUAUGACUUCGGCUGUUGAUAUUCUGUCUGUUCUGACUUCACGAUCGAAGAUCCAGCCUCGAGCUGUUGAUUCUAUUUAUUAGCCAGGGAUGCAUUUUCUGUAUUAUGAUUAUUUUCUGUAUUCUAAUUAUAUUUAGUAAUUUUGCCU